rnacentral:pre_miRNA from 1 species
GAUUUCAUCUGAAAAAGUCGUCAGUAAUAAAGUUGUAUAACUCAUCAAGAUCUAUAACUUCUAUUUUAAUCAUUUCUUCAUCCGAGAAAGUGAUUUGUAAGCUUAUUCACAUUAUAUACAUAUCUUAUACAUCUCUUACAAAUCACUUUGUCGGACGAAGAGAUGACCAAAAUAGAAGUUAUAGAUCUUGAUGAGUUAUACAACUUUGUUAUUGAUGACUUUUUCGGUUGAACUC